UUACACCUACCCACCCCUCGGGUUUCGCCAUUUUCAUAUAUAGAAACACUUUCCUUAUAUAGGCAAAUUCAAUCAGAAGACUGACCCAAAACGACGAUUGUGAAGCCUCCUUUUGUCUCCAUCAACCGCAAGUUUUUCCUUACUUUCUCUUCCUUUUUCCUCGGAUAAUUCUCUCCGUUUUCCUCAUAUCUAAACAGUGAUUUUGUCUUCGCCGUCUUUUGCUUCUUCUCGCGAAUUUAAUUUCUCUGAGAGAGAAAGUAGAUAGAGAGAGAGAGUGAGAUCGGCGAUGGGGAGAGGAAAGAUAGUGAUAAGAAGGAUUGACAAUUCGACGAGCAGGCAAGUGACGUUCUCGAAGAGGAGGAAUGGAUUGCUGAAGAAGGCGAAGGAGUUAGCGAUCCUUUGCGAUGCGGAGGUCGGAGUCAUCAUCUUCUCCAGCACUGGCAGGCUCUACGAAUAUUCUAGCACCAGCAUGAAGUCGGUGAUUGAAAGAUACAACAAAACAAAGGAGGAGAAUCACCAACUGGCAACUCCAACUUCUGAGGUUAGGUUUUGGCAAAGGGAAGCGGCAGUGCUGAGGCAACAACUACAAAACUUGCAAGAGAAUCAUCGCUUGCGUGCACCUCGACUAAUUCCACGGGAUACCUGCCACCUCCCACCAGCAACAGAUACCAGACAAAUGAUGGGUGAAGAGCUUUCUGGUCUGAGCGUCAAAGAUUUACAGAACUUGGAGAACCAACUGGAAAUGAGUCUCCGUGGUGUCCGUGUGAGAAAGGAUGAAAUUCUGAUUGAUGAGAUACAAGAACUAAACCGAAAGGGAAACCUCAUCCAUCAAGAAAACAUGGAACUAUAUAAGAAGGUUUAUGGAAAUAGAGAUGCAAAUGGAGUGAGCGGAAUAGCCCUUGCUCCGAACAGUUUAAGCAUUAAUGAAGACCCCCACACUCCUGUACAUCUCCAGCUUAGCCAGCCACAGCAACAAAACUAUGGCACAUCAGGAACUACAGAAUUGGGGCUACAGCUGCAUUAGCGGGAAAACCAGACUCGUAAGAGUUUUGAGUUCUCGUGUUGAAGAAGCAGCCGUGCUUACAAAGUUAUGUUUCAAUUAGUAAUGGUAGUAGUGGUAGAGAAGCAGGGAUGUCAGGAAAAAUCUACCGUUCAUAUGGUUAAUGUCAGCAAGUUAGACAAGUGUGAGGAAGGCAAAAUGGAAUGCAGAUCAUAACACAAUUCCCAGGAGAAGCCAUAAGACAGCAGCACUAAGAGUAUAUCACAGAGGUCGGAAGCAUAUUUCACAUGCCAUAAGGUAAAAGUAACUACUAGUAUUAUUUCUUGGGAUGAAUUAGUGCCAAAAAAGAAAAUGCAGCAGAAACCAAAAAACAAGGGUACAUGCAAUAACAAAUAUGGAGCCACCACAGAUUCGACCGAGAAACAGUAAAGUGAUUCUUUUUAGAAGAAUUAACCCAAAUAGCCUCCACCUAAUCGCUUAAACUAAAACUAGCCAGACAGAUAUAGAAUAUAUGUAUAAUUCAUGUAUCAUAUGUGCAUAACUGUGUAUAAUUACUGUAUAAUCUAUGUAUACCAACUAGA